AGUGAACGCUGGCGGUAGGCCUAACACAUGCAAGUCGAACGCCAGCACAGUAAGAGCUUGCUCUUACGGGUGGCGAGUGGCGGACGGGUGAGGAAUACAUCGGCAUCUACUUUUUCGUGGGGGAUAACGUAGGGAAAAUUACGCUAAUACCGCAUACGACCUACGGGUGAAAGCAGGGGAUCUUCGGACCUUGCGCGAUUGAAUGAGCCGAUGUCGGAUUAGCUAGUUGGCGGGGUAAAGGCCCACCAAGGCGACGAUCCGUAGCUGGUCUGAGAGGAUGAUCAGCCACACUGGAACUGAGACACGGGCCAGACUCCUACGGGAGGCAGCAGUGGGGAAUAUUGGACAAUGGGGGCAAGCCUGAUCCAGGCAUACCGCGUGGGUGAAGAAGGCCUUCGGGGUGGAAAGCCCUUUUGUUGGGAAAGAAAAGCAGCAGGUUAAUACCCCGCUGUUCUGACGGUACCCAAAGAAUAAGCACCGGCUAACUUCGUG
rnacentral:rRNA from 1 species